CAGAGUUAUCCAAACUCCCAACCCUAUGUGAACUUACCACUGUUGCCUCGGCAGGUCCUACCCUGUACCUACCCUGUAGCGAGUUACCCUGUAACCAACUGCCGGAGAACGUACCCUGUAGCCUGUCGGUGGACCAUUAAACUCUUGUUUUAACAUGGAAAUCUGAGCGUCUUAUUUUAAUAAGUAA
rnacentral:misc_RNA from 1 species